CAUGCAGUCGAACGAGCUUCCGUUGAAUGACGUGCUUGCACUGAUUUCAACAAUGAAGCGAGUGGCGAACUGGUGAGUAACACGUGGGGAAUCUGCCCAGAAGCAGGGGAUAACACUUGGAAACAGGUGCUAAUACCGUAUAACAACAAAAUCCGCAUGGAUUUUGUUUGAAAGGUGGCUUCGGCUAUCACUUCUGGAUGAUCCCGCGGCGUAUUAGUUAGUUGGUGAGGUAAAGGCCCACCAAGACGAUGAUACGUAGCCGACCUGAGAGGGUAAUCGGCCACAUUGGGACUGAGACACGGCCCAAACUCCUACGGGAGGCAGCAGUAGGGAAUCUUCCACAAUGGACGAAAGUCUGAUGGAGCAAUGCCGCGUGAGUGAAGAAGGGUUUCGGCUCGUAAAACUCUGUUGUUAAAGAAGAACACCUUUGAGAGUAACUGUUCAAGGGUUGACGGUAUUUAACCAGAAAGCCACGGCUAACUACGUGCCAGCAGCCGCGGUAAUACGUAGGUGGCAAGCGUUGUCCGGAUUUAUUGGGCGUAAAGCGAGCGCAGGCGGUUUUUUAAGUCUGAUGUGAAAGCCUUCGGCUUAACCGGAGAAGUGCAUCGGAAACUGGGAGACUUGAGUGCAGAAGAGGACAGUGGAACUCCAUGUGUAGCGGUGGAAUGCGUAGAUAUAUGGAAGAACACCAGUGGCGAAGGCGGCUGUCUAGUCUGUAACUGACGCUGAGGCUCGAAAGCAUGGGUAGCGAACAGGAUUAGAUACCCUGGUAGUCCAUGCCGUAAACGAUGAGUGCUAAGUGUUGGAGGGUUUCCGCCCUUCAGUGCUGCAGCUAACGCA
rnacentral:rRNA from 1 species